AAAGGUUAUUUGCAAAUGUUUAGUAAGUAUAGCUUCUUAACAUUCUCUCUGUGCCUUGUCAUUGUAACAUGAAACAAAUAAAUAAACCUUUGAUCUGAUUGGUUUAUUUCAUCUUUUUCCAGAUUUCAUGGUGAUAUCACAAAACCUUGACACUACUCUUGAACUCUUCACCUUUGAAUCUGAUGUACUGUAUUUCAUAUGUAUCCUUGGGAUUCAUGUCCUCUAGUUAAACUCCAGCAUACAAGGAAGGAGCAAUCCCAGAAAUGUACAGACUGGGAAAAGAAUUGAUGAAGAGAAGCCCUGUAGAAAAGGACUUGGGGAUUCUGGAGGAAGAAAUGUUGCACAUGAGCCAGCUGUGUGCUCUUGCAGUCUGGAAGGCUAACUGCAUCCUGGGUGACAUCAAAAGUGAGGUAUCCAACAGUCAGAAGGAGGGAAUUUUCCCCCUCUGCCCUCAUGAGGCCACAUCUGGAGUAAUGCAUGCAGACCUGGGGCCCCCAGCACAAGAAAAAUGUGGAGCUGUUGGAGUGGGUCCAGAGGAGAACAUGAAGAUGAUCGGAGGAAUGGAGUACCUCUCUAAUGAAGAAAGACAGAGGAACUGGGGCUGCUCAGCCCAGAGAAGAAAAUAUCUGGGGGAAAGCUGUGUAAGGCCUUCCAGUGCAUAAAGGGAGCUUAUAAAAUAGAUGGAGACCAAGUUUUUACACAGGUUGAUAGUGAUAAGACAAGGGGGAAUAGUUCUAAUCUAAAAGAAGAGAGAAUUAUGUUGGAUGUUAAGAGGACAUUCUUUACUCAGAGAGUGGUGGGGCACUGGCACAGGCUGCCCAGAGAAGCCGUGGAUGCCCCAUUACUGAAGGCUUUUAAGAACAGAUUGGAUGGGGCCCUAAGCAGCCUGACAUAGAGGGUAGCAGCCUUGUUCAGUGCAGG
ensembl:lncRNA